AAGUUUUUGACGAUUUUUCUUUAUGUUAUUUGGGAGUUACGGUCUAUGAUUGACGAAAGAUGAUACUUUUGGCAUUUACUUAUGCAAUUCCAUUUAUUACGAAAGCGUAUUAGGGUCAUCCUUUUUUAUUUAUUUUUUUUCAAAUUGUCGACUUUGAUCUUGGAAUUAUCAACUUUAAUCUUGCAAUUUCCAACUUUAAUCUUGGAAUUAUCAAUUUUAAUCUGGGUGGACUGAGGGUUAACUUCGAUUUUUUUUGGGGGGUAGGGUUGUGCUAUGUUUGUCUAAAACAAUGUACCCAUUUUUAUAUAAUAUUAACUAAUAUCUAGUACCUAUAUUUAUAUAUUAAAAUUGUGACCCGCCAUGAC
rnacentral:lncRNA from 1 species